rnacentral:rRNA from 1 species
UACGAAGGGGGCUAGCGUUGUUCGGAAUCACUGGGCGUCAAGGGCGCGUAGGCGGCUUUGUAAGUCGGGGGUGAAAGCCUGUGGCUCAACCACAGAAUUGCCUUCGAUACUGCAUGGCUUGAGACCGGAAGAGGUAAGUGGAACUGCGAGUGUAGAGGUGAAAUUCGUAGAUAUUCGCAAGAACACCAGUGGCGAAGGCGGCUUACUGGUCCGGUUCUGACGCUGAGGCGCGAAAGCGUGGGGAGCAAACAGG